GGGCCCGCACAAGCAGCGGAGCAUGUGGUUUAAUUCGAAGCAACGCGAAGAACCUUACCAGGGCUUGACAUCCCUNUGAUCGGUGUAGAGAUACAUCUUCCCUUCGGGGCAGAGGAGACAGGUGGUGCAUGGUUGUCGUCAGCUCGUGUCGUGAGAUGUUGGGUUAAGUCCCGCAACGAGCGCAACCCUUAUGUUUAGUUGCCAUCAGGUAAAGCUGGGCACUCUAGAGAGACUGCCGGGGAUAACUCGGAGGGAGGUGGGGAUGACGUCAAAUCAUCAUGCCCCUUAUGUCCUGGGCUACACACGUGCUACAAUGGCCUGUAACAAAGGGAAGCAAGACCGUAAGGAGGAGCAAAUCCCAGAAACCAGGUCCCAGUUCGGAUUGUGGGCUGCAACUCGCCCACAUGAAGUCGGAGUUGCUAGUAAUCGCGAAUCAGCAUGUCGCGGUGAAUGCGUUCCCGGGCCUUGUACACACCGCCCGUCACACCAUGGGAGUCGGGGGCACCCGAAGCCAGUGACCGAACCGCAAUUUUNAAGCUGUCGAAGGUGAAAUCGNUGACUGGGGUG
rnacentral:rRNA from 1 species